CACAUAAAUGGGCAUGUUCCCGGCUCAUGCCAAUAAUUCUUCCAGCGCCCCAGACUGAAGAAGUGUUGUCAUUUAAAAGCAGCAAAUGUGCUGUAAACAUCAACCAAUAGUAGUCUUUGAAGCUACAAGCAAGACACACUUCGCACAUUGUACUGAGGUUGUCUGCCAGUGGGAUUUUACCCCUCAAAUCCAGACAGGCUGUUUCAAAUAAUCAAGGUCCUUAUUAGAAAGAAAGCGCCAAUCACAUCUUGUAGCAAACAGGUGAGCAGAGGCCACUCUUGACUGGAAAACAUCAAAUUUAGCACCUUAAUUAAUACUGAGCGCAAAGGAGAGCAUUUACUAGAAUACGCGCAGUUGCUUUAUUUGUUGACGUUAUUGCCAAUAACUCA
rnacentral:lncRNA from 1 species